UUAGAGUUUGAUCAUGGCUCAGGACGAACACUGGCGGCGUGCCUAACACAUGCAAGUCGAGCGAGUGGAGUUCUUCGGAACAAAACUAGCGGCGGACGGGUGAGUAACACGUGGGCAACCUGCCUCAUAGAGGGGAAUAGCCUCCCGAAAGGGAGAUUAAUACCGCAUAAGAUUGUAGCUUCGCAUGAAGUAGCAAUUAAAGGAGCAAUCCGCUAUGAGAUGGGCCCGCGGCGCAUUAGCUAGUUGGUGAGGUAACGGCUCACCAAGGCGACGAUGCGUAGCCGACCUGAGAGGGUGAUCGGCCACAUUGGGACUGAGACACGGCCCAGACUCCUACGGGAGGCAGCAGUGGGGAAUAUUGCACAAUGGGGGAAACCCUGAUGCAGCAACGCCGCGUGAGUGAUGACGGCCUUCGGGUUGUAAAGCUCUGUCUUCAGGGACGAUAAUGACGGUACCUGAGGAGGAAGCCACGGCUAACUACGUGCCAGCAGCCGCGGUACGCC
rnacentral:rRNA from 1 species